CAAGUCGUGCGAGAAAGAUCUUCGGAUAUGAGUAGAGCGGCGGACGGGUGAGUAACGCGUAGGAAUCUACCUAGUAGAAGGGGAUAGCCCGGGGAAACCCGGAUUAAUACCGUACACCUCCUUCGGGAGAAAGAAGGCCUCUCUCUGAAGCUUUCGCUACUAGAUGAGCCUGCGUAAGAUUAGCUUGUUGGUGAGGUAAAGGCUCACCAAGGCUACGAUCUUUAGCUGGUUUGAGAGGACGAUCAGCCACAUUGGGACUGAGACACGGCCCAGACUCCUACGGGAGGCAGCAGUGGGGAAUAUUGGACAAUGGGCGCAAGCCUGAUCCAGCCAUACCGCGUGUGUGAAGAAGGCCUUCGGGUUGUAAAGCACUUUAAGCAGGGAGAAAAAGUUAUAAGUUAAUACCUUAUAACCCUGAUGUUACCUGCAGAAUAAGCACCGGCUAAUUCCGUGCCAGCAGCCGCGGUAAUACGGAAGGUGCAAGCGUUAAUCGGAAUUACUGGGCGUAAAGCGCGCGUAGGUGGUUUGUUAAGUUGGAUGUGAAAGCCCUGGGCUCAACCUAGGAACUGCAUCCAAAACUAACUCACUAGAGUACGAUAGAGGGAGGUAGAAUUCAUAGUGUAGCGGUGGAAUGCGUAGAUAUUAUGAAGAAUACCAGUGGCGAAGGCGGCCUCCUGGAUCUGUACUGACACUGAGGUGCGAAAGCGUGGGUAGCGAACAGGAUUAGAUACCCUGGUAGUCCACGCCGUAAACGAUGACAACUAGCUGGUUGGGAGACUAUGC
rnacentral:rRNA from 1 species